rnacentral:lncRNA from 1 species
GAGGAAUCCGAAGGAGAGCCCUCCUCGAGUGGGCGAGACCCUCCAGGCAGGCCGGGAAGAACCUUCGGGAGGGGCUGGAACUUUUCCCCCUCCUCAGGUGACUUCUUCCCGGGUCUCUCAGGAGAGAGGUCUCGGCAAGGCCCGGAACUGACCGCCCUGGGGCCAGGGUUCUCCGCCGCAGCAUUUGCUCUGGAAGUCAGGAUGUCUCAGGAAAUGGAAGAUAGUAUUGGUGAGUGUCGGUUUAAUUUUCAAACCCAUUUUUAUUAUGUCUCCUCUUCCUGAUCAUCACAAAUUUUAAGUGUGAAUCUGAACACAGUGGGAACCCAGAGCCAUGAGCUGGUAUACAAUGGGAGCCCAGAGCUGCAGGCUAAUAUAGUUUGCUGAGGUUGCCAAGUCACUGCUGACACACACACACACACUUUUUUUUCUGUUGGUAGUAAUGAAAUUAGUGUGUUCCUUACAACCAAUUGUGUCUUAUUAAAGAAACAUGGUAUGUCCUUUAAGUGAAAUUAGAUUUUGUAGACAUGUUGGUCUGGCAAUCAGAUCUAUUUGAGAU